UACGUAGGGGGCAAGCGUUGUCCGGAUUUAUUGGGCGUAAAAGGCUUGUAGGUGGCCACGCCAAGUCGGAUGUGAAAUCUCCCGGCUCAACUGGGAGGGGUCAUUCGAUACUGGCGGGCUCGAGGCCGGUAGGGGGAAGUGGAAUUCCCGGUGUAGUGGUGGAAUGCGUAGAUAUCGGGAGGAACACCAGUGGCGAGGGCGGCUUCCUGGACCGGUUCUGACACUGAGGAGCGAAAGCGUGGGGAGCGAUCCGG
rnacentral:rRNA from 1 species